rnacentral:lncRNA from 1 species
UGUGUGUGUAACAGAGAGUGUGUUAUUCAUGUUGCCUCUCUGAGGGCUACUAGGCCGAAGCCUGCUGACAGUGAACAACAGAACAACACCACUAGCCAGCUGGUUAGGGCUUAGGGGGCUAGGAGUUAGGAUGCAUCAUGUUAGGGCUUAGGGGGCUAGGAGUUAGGAUGCAUCAUGUUAGGGCUAGGAGUUAGGAUGCAUCAUGUUAGGGCUUAGGGGGCUAGGAGUUAGGAUGCAUCAUGUUAGGGCUAGGAGAGUUAGGAUGCAUCAUGUUAGGGCUAGGAGUUAGGAUGCAUCAUGUUAGGGCUGGGGGACUAGGAGUUAGGAUGCAUCAUGUUAGGGGACUAGGAGUAAGGAUGCAUCAUGUUAGGGCUGGGGGACUAGGAGUUAGGAUGCAUCAUGUUAGGGGACUAGGAGUUAGGAUGCAUCAUGUUAGGGCUGGGGGAUUAGGAGUUAGGAUGCAUCAUGUUAGGGGACUAGGAGUUAGGAUGCAUCAUGUUAGGGCUAGGGGGACUAGGAGUUAGGAUGCAUCAUGUUAGGGUACUAGGAGUUAGGAUGCAUCAUGUUAGGGCUUAGGGGGCUAGGAGUUAGGAUGCAUCAUGUUAGGGCUGGGGGACUAGGAGUUAGGAUGCAUCAUGUUAGGGCUUAGGGGGACUAGGAGUUAGG